GAUCAACGCUGGCGGCGUGCCUAAUGCAUGCAAGUCGCACGGGGGCACCUUCGGGGGCUUGCCGUGGCGGACGGGUGAGGAGCACGUGGGGAAGCUGCCGUCUGCAGGGGGGUAACCAUCGGAAACGAUGGGUAAUUCCGCAUGGGUUGACCGACUGGGUAGGGUGGGUCAACAAAGGGCUUUCGGGCUCGGCAGACGAGGCACCUGCGGCCGAUUAGCUGGUUGGUGGGGUCACGGCCUACCAAGGCGAUGAUCGGGAGCUGGUCUGAGAGGAUGAUCAGCCACACGGGGACUGAGACACGGCCCCGACUCCUACGGGAGGCAGCAGCAAGGAAUUUUCCGCAAUGGGCGCAAGCCUGACGGAGCAACGCCGCGUGCGGGAUGACGCCUUUCGGGGUGUAAACCGCUGUUCGUGGGGACGAAGCACUGACG
rnacentral:rRNA from 1 species